rnacentral:lncRNA from 1 species
UUUGGACUUGAAAACAACCCCUUCAUCUUUCCUCCCAUUUGGCCUCCAUGAAGCAGAGGAGCCGAGAUUUUGAAAUGACCAAGUUCCUUUCCUUUUAAGCUGUCGUUCCACCUUUAUUGCCAUGUGCACCAUGUCUUCCAACUCCACAUAGUGUUGUAACUCUACCACGUUGGCAAUGUCCCGAUUCAACCCAUUCAGAAACCUUGCCAUAAUAGC